rnacentral:ncRNA from 2 species
ACCUUGUUUAGAGGAGCUUUAAUUAAGAGUAUUUCCGCGGAGCCGGCAAGCUGUGAAGAGGAAUGAAAGGAAUUGAAGCCGAAGGAGGAUUAGUGCCAUCUAAUCAUCCUGGCUGUGCGUAGAACAUGCGUAUGGUUGUCAUCCGAAUCAGGAUGGAGAGCUAAAAGGGUU